rnacentral:lncRNA from 1 species
CUUCCGCCCCGCCCCUCUGAGCCGAGAACCAAUGAGCUCUGCGGAACGCCUGAGUGGCGUCCGAUCCGACCAAUGAGAACGCUGGGAAGGGCGAGGGGCGGAGCGGGUGCCGCGCGGCGCCGCCAUUUUGCGGCGGAGAAACGGCGGCGGCAGCGGCGGCGGAGAGCGGAGGUGGGAACGGAGCGGCGGGGCGGGGCCGGAGUGGGGCGGGGCCUAACGGAGGGGGCGUGGCCUAACGGGGAGGGGGGUGAAUGGGAUCGAGGGGGGCUUAAUUGGGGCGGGAGGGGCGUAACGGGAAAGAAGGAUUCUGAUUGGUGGGCUUGGAGGCAGGGGGCGGGGCUUGAUUGGGUGGGGGCGGGGCUUAGUGGAUGGAUGGGGGCGUGGUUUGUAUGGUAAUGAGGUGGGCGGGGCUUGGUGGGGGCUUCACGUGGCGGCUGUUGGCUUUUGGGGCCCGGCCCAGUUCAGCCCAGUUCGUCCCAGUGCCUCCCAGUCCAUCCCAGUUCAUCCCAGUUCAUCCCAGUGCCUCCUUAAACUCUUCCCAGUCCCUCCCAGUUCGUCCCAGUGCCUCUUUUGUGUCUUCCCAGUUCAUCCCAUUCCAUCCCAGUGCCUCCUUUGUGUCUUCCCAGUUCAUCCCAGUUCAUCCCAGUGCCUCCUUUGUGUCUUCCCAGUUCAUCCCAGUCCAUCCCAGUUCAUCCCAGUUCAACCCAGUGCUUCCUUUGUGUCUUCCCAGUUCAUCCCAGUUCAUCCCAGU